rnacentral:rRNA from 1 species
GACGAACGCUGGCGGCGUGCUUAACACAUGCAAGUCGAACGGAAAGGCCCUGCUUGCAGGGUACUCGAGUGGCGAACGGGUGAGUAACACGUGGGUGAUCUGCCCUGCACUUCGGGAUAAGCCUGGGAAACUGGGUCUAAUACCGGAUAGGAGCCAUUUUUAGUGUGAUGGUUGGAAAGUUUUUUCGGUGUAGGAUGAGCUCGCGGCCUAUCAGCUUGUUGGUGGGGUAAUGGCCUACCAAGGCGGCGACGGGUAGCCGGCCUGAGAGGGUGGACGGCCACAUUGGGACUGAGAUACGGCCCAGACUCCUACGGGAGGCAGCAGUGGGGAAUAUUGCACAAUGGGCGCAAGCCUGAUGCAGCGACGCCGCGUGGGGGAUGACGGCCUUCGGGUUGUAAACUCCUUUCGCUAGGGACAAAGCUUUUUGUGACGGUACCUAGAUAAGAAGCACCGGCUAACUACGUG